rnacentral:rRNA from 1 species
AACGAACGCUGGCGGCGCGUCUUAAGCAUGCAAGUCGAACGGCAAGAGAGGAGCUUGCUUCUCUCCUAGAGUGGCGGACUGGUGAGGAACACGUGGGUAAUCUACCCUUAAGAUGGGGAUAGCUGCUAGAAAUAGCAGGUAAUACCGAAUACACUCGGCAUAUCACAAGAGGUGUUGAGGAAAGGAAGCUACGGCUUCGCUUGAGGAUGAGCUUGCGUCCCAUUAGCUAGUUGGUGAGGUAAAGGCCCACCAAGGCGACGAUGGGUAUCCGGCCUGAGAGGGUGAACGGACACAUUGGGACUGAGAUACGGCCCAAACUCCUACGGGAGGCAGCAGCUAAGAAUAUUCCGCAAUGGACGGAAGUCUGACGGAGCGACGCCGCGUGGAUGAAGAAGGCUGAAGAGUUGUAAAAUCCUUUUGUUGAUGAAGAAUAAGGGUGAGAGGGAAUGCUCAUCUGAUGACGGUAAUCGACGAAUAAGCCCCGGCUAAUUACGUG